CUUUUUCUGUGACAUCAAGUGUAGUAUCUGUCCUUAUCAGUUUAACAUCUGAUAUGUCCUCAACCCAACUGAUUUUUUAAAUUUUUGGUUAUGCUGAUUUUUACUGGGACAUGUGAAAAUGAAAGUAGGAAAUAUCUCAUUCAGUCUCUCAGUGCUUCACCAACU
rnacentral:snRNA from 1 species